UGACUAGAUAUUCCAUUUAUCU
rnacentral:miRNA from 1 species